rnacentral:rRNA from 1 species
AGUGAACGCUGGCGGUAGGCCUAACACAUGCAAGUCGAACGGCAGCACAGUAAGAGCUUGCUCUUACGGGUGGCGAGUGGCGGACGGGUGAGGAAUACAUCGGAAUCUACUUUUUCGUGGGGGAUAACGUAGGGAAACUUACGCUAAUACCGCAUACGACCUACGGGUGAAAGCAGGGGAUCUUCGGACCUUGCGCGAUUGAAUGAGCCGAUGUCGGAUUAGCUAGUUGGCGGGGUAAAGGCCCACCAAGGCGACGAUCCGUAGCUGGUCUGAGAGGAUGAUCAGCCACACUGGAACUGAGACACGGCCCAGACUCCUACGAGAGGCAGCAGUGGGGAAUAUUUGACAAUGGGCGCAAGCCUGACCCAGCCAUACCGCGUGGGUGUAGAAGGUGUUCGGGUUGUAAAGCCCUUGUGUUGGGAAAGAAAAGCAGCAGGUGAAAAUGUGGAGGUUCUGACGGUACCCAAAGAAUAAGCAACGGCUAACUUCGUG